AGCUUAGAGCAUCUCCAACGGCAUGUUUAUGUGGAAUUGAAAUGAGGUUCUCUUGAUUAAAGUGAUUAAAAAUAAUUCAAAACAAGUAAUUAUGCAGAGAGUCGGCUCUGAAGAGAGAGAUUUGAGAAUCGACUCUCUCCCUCUUUUUCUUUCUCUUUCUCGUAUCUCUGGUGAUUCUGCAACCCUUGAGAAAGGAAGACGGAGGAUUAGUAGCAGAAGAAGAAGAGUUUAGCCAUAUCUACAUAUAAGGAAGAUGGCCUUUUCUCAUCAAAUAAAUCUCUCGCCUUUUCUCAUCCAAAUUCUGAUGCCACAAAGCUAGCCACAAUCACAAACCCAAUUUCUACUUGUCGGGUUCAUGUUCCCAAACUUGUUGGAAUCCGAUCCACCUUCGCUUCUGGUUCUCCUCUUUGUACGUCUUCCUUGGUCCUGACCAAUUCUCCAAUUCUCUAAAUUUAAGCUUUAGUUUGAAAAUUAGGGUUUCUGGGUAUCCUAAGCAGCUCAAUUUUUGAUAGUUUUGAUUCGUUUUAUAGACUGAAUUGUUCACAUAUGAAACAGAGCAUAAACAAUUGGUUAGAGGUAAGCUUGAGAUUAGCUUGGAUGAACAUCAAUAGUGGCAAGAAAAGAGGAAUCAAAUUGAAAGAGAAAUUGAAUGUUGUUGCGGCAGCUAAUGCGUAUUAGAGGAAGAACUUAGCAUUGUGAGAGAGUGAUCUUAUUGAUUUAGUGGUGUUGCAUGAACUUAGCAUGUAAGAAUUGAGCUCUGUCUUGGUUUUUAGUGGUGAAGGGUGUUCAAAAACCAGUGACUUGUGUCGUGUAGGAUUAAAUUCUAGGAGGAUUGGUUUGGAAUUGGAUAUGUAUGAAUUGGAUAUGUUCAUUAUACAUGUAGCCAUGUUUCUGCAGGAUGGAUUAGGUUGAAAAAAGAAGAAGCAAGUUUUAGUGUUGUUUACAUGAUAAAUGUAGUAACCGGUGCUUGAGAUCUUUAUUUUGGCUUGGUGAUACUAACAGAAGAUGAUGAGGAAGAACACGAAGAUGUGGUAACAUUAAGCAGAACACAGAGAUGAUGUUUGAAUGGCUAGGGAAAUGGAAUGGACUAGUUUGGAAUUCAGAUGAAGUGGGUUUUGUAAAGGUCAUAGGAGACAACAAGAAGUUGGAUACCAUAUCUGUAGGUUUCAGUUACGAUAACAUUGGAAGCGAAUAGUUAGGUAAUAGGUAAGAAUUAUCCUCAUCUGCCUCAGUUGCACUCUUUUUGAAUACACCUUCCUUUUCUCUAUAUAUACAACACUACUUCUUGUUAUAUCAAAACACAACACUUGUUCUUGUUAUAUCAAAACAACACUUCUUCUUAUUAUAUCAAAACACAACACUUAUUCUU